rnacentral:rRNA from 1 species
AUACGGAGGGUGCAAGCGUUGUCCGGAUUUAUUGGGUUUAAAGGGUGCGUAGGUGGUUUAUUAAGUCAGUGGUGAGAUCCUGCAGCUUAACUGUGGAACUGCCAUUGAUACUGGUAAACUUGAGUACUGUUGAGGCAGGCGGAAUUUAUGGUGUAGCGGUGAAAUGCAUAGAUACCAUAAAGAACACCGAUAGCGAAGGCAGCUUGCUUAGCAGUUACUGACACUGAUGCACGAAAGCGUGGGUAGUGAACAGGAUUAGAUACCCUAGUAGUCC